AUAGCUCAGUGGUAGAGGAGUCGCUUGUUAACCGAUUGGUCGUAAGUUCGAAUCCUACU
rnacentral:tRNA from 1 species